AUGCUAUUAUUGACUUCUCGGUACUCGACUAUAAAAGAUAUUGACGAGGGAUUGUACGGCGUUCAGUGCAUUCAAACACCUUUAUGCAUACGUGCCGUGUGUUAAGACUGUGUAGUUUCGAGCGUUCAUUUCCCUACGAGUAAUUUAUUUUAGAUGGUUAGAUUUCAAGAAUUUGAAUUGUGUAACACUUAGUUUGAGAAUAUAAUUUAAUUCCAGUCUGAAUUAGUCUUAUAUAGACACUUGACCAACCAAAAAUGGAUAGUAAAUUUGCAGGUCGCUUUUCCGUCGUCGUUUUCAUUUUGAUAACCUUGACAACUGGGCUAAUGAAAGCCCUUUUCCCUGCGGUGUACGAUUUAAUCGGAUCUUCCUGUUUGGUGCUGGCAGGGUUGUCUGUGAUAGCAAUUUGCAUUAUUUACUGUGUGAUCCCCAAUAUUCACUCCAACUCUCUUUCCAACAAGUCAAAGGCGGAUUCUACACCAAAAACCAUAAGAACUGUUCCUACCUGCUAAAAAUCGGAUCACACGGUACAAAGCGCGAGUCAUGCUCGAAAGUCGCGCAUUUUACCCAACUAUAUUAACUUCAUUUUUCUUUGACGUAAUAACCUUGAAAACUACGACGGUGUUGAUGGAAGAGAAACCGCAAUUGUUGGUGAUUAACGGCGCAACAUGUUUACACAUGUAAAUAGCUUACUAGCUCACUCUUGAUAGCCCUCACCUAUGGACAAAUACCAACGUUUUGUCAACCACGUUAGGUCGGUACCUCGCUAAAAUUGUUAAACUGUAUAAAACUGAAAUACUGAAAUAUAGGCCACUCUUUUUGGAUUUCUCGACUGCUC